UACGAGGGGGGCAAGUGUUGUUCGGAAUUACUGGGCGUAAAGGGAGCGUAGGCGGGCUCUUAAGUUGGAUGUUUAAAACCGGGGCCUAACCCCGGCGUGGCAUCCAAAACUGGGAGUCUUGAAUGGGACAGAGGCCAGUGGAAUUAGAGGUGUAGCGGUGGAAUGCGUAGAUAUCUCUAAGAACACCAGUUGCAAAGGCGGCUGGCUGGGUCCACAUUGACGCUGAGGCUCGAAAGCGUGGGGAGCAAACAGG
rnacentral:rRNA from 1 species